CGCUAUCAUCCUACGGGAGGCAGCAGUGGGGAAUAUUGCACAAUGGGCGCAAGCCUGAUGCAGCCAUGCCGCGUGUAUGAAGAAGGCCUUCGGGUUGUAAAGUACUUUCAGCAGUGAGGAAGGUGGGUAUGUUAAUAGCAUAUUCAUUUGACGUUAGCUGCAGAAGAAGCACCGGCUAACUCCGUGCCAGCAGCCGCGGUAAUACGGAGGGUGCGAGCGUUAAUCGGAAUUACUGGGCGUAAAGCGCAUGCAGGUGGUUGUUAAGUCAGAUGUGAAAGCCCGGGGCUCAACCUCGGAAUUGCAUUUGAAACUGGCAAACUAGAGUACUGUAGAGGGGGUAGAAUUUCAGGUGUAGCGGUGAAAAUGCGUAGAGAUCUGAAGGAAUACCGGUGGCGAAGGCGGCCCCCUGGACAGAUACUGACACUCAGAUGCGAAAGCGUGGGGAGCAAACAGGAUUAGAUACCCUGGUAG
rnacentral:rRNA from 1 species